UACGUAGGGGGCAAGCGUUGUCCGGAUUUAUUGGGCGUAAAGAGCGUGUAGGCGGUCAGGUAGGUCCGUUGUGAAAACUCGAGGCUCAACCUCGAGACGCCGAUGGAAACCAUCUGACUAGAGUCCGGAAGAGGAGAGUGGAAUUCCUGGUGUAGCGGUGAAAUACGCAGAUAUCGGGAAGAACACCCGUGGCGAAAGCGACUUUCUGGACAGAUACUGACACUGAGGCACGAAAGCAUGGGUAGCAAACAGG
rnacentral:rRNA from 1 species